ACGGCUUCACUCUCACCCUGCAG
rnacentral:miRNA from 1 species